rnacentral:misc_RNA from 1 species
UCCGGUUUAUCACCGGCAGUUUCCUUAGAGUCCCCGACAUUACUCGCUGGCAACUAAGGACGAGGGUUGCGCUCGUUGCGGGACUUAACCCAACAUCUCACGACACGAGCUGACGACAGCCAUGCAACACCUGUGUUCGGUCCAGCCGAACUGAAAAGAUCCAUCUCUGGAUCUCGAAACCGACAUGUCAAGGGUUGGUAAGGUUUUUCGCGUUGCAUCGAAUUAAACCACAUGCUCCACCGCUUGUGCGGGUCCCCGUCAAUUCCUUUGAGUUUUAAUCUUGCGACCGUACUCCCCAGGCGGGGUGCUUAACGCGUUAGCUGCGACACCGAAGCUCAAGGCCCCGACAUCCAGCACCCACCAUUUACAGCGUGGACUAC